rnacentral:sRNA from 1 species
UAAGGAAGGUAACCUAAAACCGCGGCUUCCUGCCGCAACGGUUACCUGACCCACAUCCUGCGG